GGGCCCUCCUCCUGGUUCACAGCUGGCGCCUGUUUGCUAUAUCCUUACAUGUGGAAGGGACUAGGGAGCUCUGUGAGGUCUCUUUUAUAAGAGCAUUAAUCUCAUUCGUGAGGACUCUACCCUUAUGCUCUAAGCACCUCCAAAGGCUCCAUCUCCUAAUACCUCACAUCAAACAUUAGGAUUUCAACAUAGGAAUUUUUUUAGCGGAGGGACACAAACAUUUAGACCAUAGCAAUGCACACCCCUUCCCUCUCAUUGUUGGACCAAUCUUGCGUAGAUUCCACUCUAGUCACUUUCAGUUAUGCAAACAGUCUCAUUUAGGCAAUUAUAACUCAUUUUUGGGUUUUAGAAGAUUCAGCUCAGCUUAAUAUCAAAACAGCAAUCCCACGUCCAGGGGACCUACACUGUUGGAAGAGUCUCUCCCUCUUUUUCAAUUAGUUGAAGAGACGCGAGUCUUUUGCCACUGGUGCUGCUAUUGUUCUAUCCUGGCCACUCUCUUAGGCAGGUCCCAUGAAGACAGCUUGAGCAUGCUUACCUUCCGUUGCAUCUGUGAGUCGGUGGGAAGCACUUGCAUCCUCGCCACCCAGAAGUCUAGAUUGCUCCAGUUCAGCUCUCUCUUUACCUUCAUGGCAAAUGGCUGCACCUGGCCUCCUGCUUGCUAUAGUCACCAGCUGAUUUCUUAGGAAACUGAACUGACAUUAAAGAGCCCUUGGUUUUAUUUUUAACUCUCCGGCUGUUGGAGUUUGGACAUGUUGGGUUUUCUAUCCUGGAGCAAACCUUUUGCGAUCCACAAGGUGAAAUCCGUCACGGGGUGUAAGGGACAACAACAUGUCACAAAGCGUCAAAACUCAGGGAAACUCACUUGCUGUAGAAGCUGAUCUGCAGAAUCCAUCGGACUGUUCGCCAGACUAAAAGAGCUGUGAUGUUUUGAUCCCUAGAGCUUUUUUGGGUAACCUUUCAUGUACUGUCACCAGUUACUUCCAGGUUUAAUGUGCUUUCAUCAAUGGGUUUUUGAAGCCAGCCUCCACUCCACUCUCACUUUAUUUAUAUAGUGUUGGAGGGUGGAAUUGACAUCCUCUUUCAGACGGAAAGUAAAUUGAGUUCUCUCUUUUAGCUAUGGAUUAUUGAGCAGGUUGCAAUAGAAUUGUAAUGCCGCUGGUGGUGACCUUUGUGUAGGAAUUUUUGUGUAUUUUGCAAAGCAAAAAUAAAUCCAAUGAAGCUUAAUCAUGGCCAAAAUCCAAACUGAGAAAACCUUUGAAAGGUAGAUUAAAAAGCCAUAGCAGCAUUCAUUUCAUAGAAAUUAAUGAAUUAUAAAAGUGAGAGAUAUUAAAUUUGAAUAGCCCAGCUCUCCCUCCACCCCCAGAUGUGCAAAAAAGGCAAGUUCUUGGUAGAAUGCCAUUAUUUUCACAAGGUAAAAAGCCAGGGAUAAUGUAACAGAAUAUUUCCUGGUUAAAAAAAUAAUAAGUUCCAUAUUGACCCAUUCGAUCGUUAGCUUCCAUCUCAGUUCACACUUCAAAAUGUUCUCUCAAAUGGUUAUGCAUUGGACACAUGGGAAGAAAAUCUGAGGUGAUAGCCUAAGCUUUUAGAGUAAACCAAACCCAUUGAGUGGCAAGUUAAUGUACAAUAGCGUCCAUAAGGCAUGUUAACUGGC
rnacentral:lncRNA from 1 species